rnacentral:lncRNA from 1 species
AGCAAGGUCUUCAGGGUGUUUUGCUGAGGAAGAUCACCCAACCCAUUGGCUCUAUCAUCAUCAUCUCAGGAUUUCAUUAAUGGCAAUUCCCACAGGUACGCUUCCGCCUUUGGCUAUUCAUCAUGUAAUUGACAUGGAUUGUUGAGCACAGCGUUAUUAAGGUUUUUCCAACAAUUGGUAUCAGAGCCUACCAUGUUUAAUUCAUGAUGAAAUUCGGUUAUUGUCUUUGUUGUAAUUUGGGAAUUUGGGAAUUUUGAUAUAUAUAUUAUGGAAUCCAUAUUUUUAACGUGUUUGAAAAAUUAGGGUUUGUAAUUUGGGAAUUUGGGAAUUUUGAUAUAUAUAUAUUAUGGAAUCCAUAUUUUUAACGUGUU